AAGUCGUAACAAGGUUUCCGUAGGUGAACCUGCGGAAGGAUCAUUAAAAGAAUCUGCCUCACCCACAGAUAUCUUAUCACGUGUGAACUGUCUAGCUUGGCACCCGAGAUGGACACCUCAGAGAUCUCGGUCUUUGGGGGGUCUGUCUUGGGGGUCAGCUUAUGCUACUGAUUGUGCCCCGAGAAUCUUUAAAAGACUAUAAAACUUUUAGCAAUGGAUCUCUAGGCUCCU
rnacentral:misc_RNA from 1 species